AGAAGGAUACAUCAAUUCAGAAAGUUUAAACGCCGCUGUCUUAAGUCCAGGCUUUCUCAAAGCUUGUAUAGCACGUCCAUUAUAACUCACCCCUAUGUGUGAAUGGUAACUUUGUUCUGUAUAUUUUACUACAAUUUAAAGUUAUAAUUAUAACCUGUAGAAACGUGUGCGGUUUUUUUUUAAAUCUACUGGAUUAGGGUAGUAGAAUCUACUGAUUUUAUUCAUCUUUAUGUCACUUGAUAGAAUUUGAGAAAUGUCCUGCAUUUGAUUGCAUGUAAGCACCUAAACUAUGCACAGAGGCCUGUUUCUCCAGAAAUCGUCUGCGGCCCAUGUGCAUCCGAGUUGCCUGAGAACAUGCUGGGACCUCAGGUCGAUGGGUCAGUCUCAGAGUGCAGAGCCUGGGAACCUGUAUUUUUUGACAAGCUCUCCAGGUCCACUGUGUAAAGCUAUUUAUUUAUAAAGCCUAGUCUGGGCUACAAUUUGUAGGACGUGCGUCGGCCUCCAGGAGUUCUGGAAGACCCGCUUCUUGGGCCUCUCGCCCCAACUUCUCAUCUCAGCCUCAACCUGUCAUCAGGGCGGGAGAGUUUCAGCACCGCCGGCGGUCCGGGUCUCCGCGCAGGCGCAGAGGCGCGCCGGCCUGCGUGUGCCCAGGCGCCCUACGGUCUGUUCUUUAUGCGUCGUCGGCGCCUGGAGAAUUAGAGAAUUAGUCUGGGCGGCUGAUCGGCAUUGGCUGGCCGUGCACACCGCGAAGGAAUGACCAGGGCCCGAGUGAAGAGUGUCACCAGUGACCGUGAGCCCGGACGCGCCGUAAGCACGGGGGCAGCGGGUCCGCACAGGGCUCCCCUGUUAAUCCCUCCGGCUUCCCCUCGGCCCGCGCACUCAGGUUCCGCCCGUGCGCCGGGCCGCCGGAUGUGUGUCCGGACGCUGCACGGGAGGCGGCCGAGCCUGUGAGCAGCAGCCUUUAUUGGAUGAUGGUCCUGAUGAUAACGCUUGGUCCUUGACUACCCAUUGAGCCAAUUUCCAAGAACACUUGUGUGAGGACUAUUUUUGUGAACCUGGCACGGACUUGAUCGUUUGUCUCCCAGGGCUGAACGCGCGCUGAUUCCACUGCGCGUGCGCAAAGGCUCCGGGCAGCCGCGCUAGGGGACUGCAAACCAGAUUGGUUAUUUCCCCUGGUUUUUCUAUCGCUUGCAACAGAGCUAUGACCCAAAUCCAGGCUACUUAGUAAAUGCUUACCCCACGUGGGCUCUACCUGAUAUUACGCCGAUUCGUGCCAAGGAUACCACUCGCACUGUAGCGGCACGUUAGCGGGGGCUGAAGUUUCAAUCCUUCGGUUACAUAGCGUGGUUGGGACUUGCAACCUCUGAGGAUCAGUCUCGAAGCCUCCAUGUCACUGUGGAGGCAAGGGUGUGCCGAUAUCCUGGGAUCGGAGUAACAGGAAAGGAAAGGGUGACUCCAAUGCCCUUUCUUGGCCUAUUGAGAAGCACAGGAACCCCAGCGUGUGGACUGUACUCGUGAUCACCCAGGUGGAGGAAGAACAGUGAUUGAUCCUGGAUCUUAGGGAACUAAGAGGGGAGUGACAGAAACGUCUGUCUAGACAGGGAGCUCUGAACUGAACCAAAGCCUCAAUACCAAUCAGGCUGUUUCUGAAGAACUCCAGUUAUCAGGGCAGCAGUGGAAAGCCUCAGAGGGACUUGUGCCCAAGGUCCUAUGAAUGAAUACACCUAUAAAAGUGAGGGCCAGCUAUCAAAGCAGACAGAAUGUCCUAUAGAGAAGAAAUCUUGUUUUGAGAAAACAGCGAUCAGAAAAUGUCAAUGACUCUCAAGGCGAUUUUCAUCAGGGAAAGAGGCCCAGAAUCCAGUGAACUUACUCUAAACUCAAAACUUACACAGCAGAAAAUUCCAAAGGGGGCCAGAUCCCCCACAUCUAGGGAAAACUCCAAAGAUAAUUCAGAUUCAAUGAAACACCAAAAACUCUUCCCACUAAAGAAACCUUGUAAAUGUGAAGAAUGUGGGAAAGCCUUAAGUUACCAAUCUGACUGUUUUGUCCACAGUAGAAUUCAUGGUGGAGAAAAGCCUUUUGAAUGCAAUGAAUGUGGGAAAACUUUUAGCCGAAGUACACACCUGAUUGAACAUCAAAGAACACACACUGGAGAGAAACCGUAUCAAUGCAGUGAGUGUGGGAAAGCUUUCAGCCGGAGUACCCACCUUGGUCUACACCAGAGGACCCACACUGGGGAAAAACCAUACGAAUGUAGUGAAUGUGGAAACGCCUUCAGCCGAAGCACGAACCUUAGUCAACAUCAGCGAACUCAUACUCAAGAAAAACCGUACAAAUGUACUGAAUGUGGGAAAGCCUUCAGUGACCGUUCAACCAUAAUUCAGCAUCAACGAAUACACACGGGGGAGAACCCCUAUGAGUGCAGUGCAUGUGGAAAAACUUUCAGCUGGGUCUCAUCCCUCAGUGAACAUCAGAGAAUACACAUGGGGGAGAACCCCUAUGAGUGCAGGGACUGUAGGAAAGUGUUCACCCGGGGCUCGUCCCUCACUGAACACCAGAGACUCCACACUGGAGAAAAGCCACAUGCGUGCAGAGAGUGUGGGAAGGGCUUCGGGCGGAGCUCCUCCCUUGCUGUUCACCAGAGAACUCACACCGGAGAGAAGCCUUACAAGUGUAAUGACUGUGGGAAAGCCUUCAGCCAGAGCUCAACACUCAUCAGACAUCAGCAGCUUCACACCAAGGAGUAAUAUCUGGGCUCUCAUGAUGUUAGCACAAGAGCACAUCACAUCACCUCCUGCCUCUGAAAAGAAAAUGCAUAUGUGUCUGAAUUUUCCUUCCCUACUAGCUAGCUUAUUAUAAGCCAGGUUCAAGCUAUCCUGCCUUCCUUUUUCUGAACUGAAUGCUCAAAUGGGUGAUCCAUACAAGUUGACUUCAAAAACCUAACAUCAGUCUAGUCUGGAGGGUGUCAACCUUAGAGUCUGUUGCUACCUGAUACCUUGCAUUUCCAUUCGUGGGGCUUCGCAACCACAUCAGCCCCUUCACUGAGGGAGGAAAUCGCCAUGCUUGCUGGUUCCAGUCACAGACUUAGAACAAGACAAAGCUUCCUGGCAGCCUGGCGAUGAUAGUGUUGAGGCAAAUUUAGUCUCUGAACUUAAAAGGACAGACUUUUCUCUUCCUUCCUUCCUUCCUUCCUUCCUCCCUCCUUCCCUCCCUCCAUUGCUGUAGCCUAUUUUCCUCAAAGUAUAACCCAUAUUUCUAUUAAUAUGCCUAAUUAAUCCUCGUGUUGUAUUAUCUCAUCCUUACCAAGAGUGUCCUAAAACUCUUACAAACAUUUAGUUUCUCCAUUAUCUUGGGAUAAAAAUGCUGCCCUAUUUUUGAAACUUUUCUUUUGUUUACAGUCUUCAUGGAACUUGUACCCUCUGGCUCCCAGUCUCACCAGUCUUGCAAAACUGAUCUUUCAAGAACAAACUCAGUACCUACGUCUCAGUUCCUACUUGACAGUUGCAGAAUUGGCACUUUUGGCCACUCUUAUGCCUUAACAGUUGAGUUUCUGGGAUCCAUGAUUCUAUACCGACUCACACUUUUCCUACCUCCCAGCAUUUCUCUGAUUGAUGGUGAUGAGCUCUGUGACUGGGCAAUGUCGGGCCAGAAUAAUCUCAUGUCAUUGUGUUACAAUGCUUGGUUAUUCAUUGGGACCGUCAGCUUCUUGAAGACAGAAGUCUUGCUGCAGGCCCCUGAAAAAUGUCACAAAGUGCUCGUGGUCAUGCAAUGCCCUGUGUUUGUCGCUUACUGGCUGAUCUCUAUCACAGGCUCUGUAACCCCAUGACCAGAAAUGAAAAACUUGGAUCACAAUCAAAUAAGAAAGAAGAUAUUCUCCUAACCACUAUAAUAGCUCUGGAGUCUGGUUCUCGAUGUUCCUCUGGAGAAAGGAAGUGAAUGCAAACGGGCCGGCGCAACGCGAGCAAAGGCGUCGGUAGAGGGCGCAGCAGGGUCGCUGUGUGGAUGCUUCAGGAGGGAAAAGCAGACCCCAGAGAACGCUGAGUAUCCUGUGCUGCCAGCCCAGCCACCGUCACGAUUGCCGUGAGCAGGAGCAAGGCACAGACCCAGAACUGCCACCAUCCUGCCCUACUUGGCACCAUGCGGAACAGUGAAGCGAAUGUAAGCACAGGCAGCUUCACAACAGUGGUGCUUCUCCAGCAGAGCCAAGAAGAUGAAAGCAACACAGGUUUUGGGGAACAGCCAACUGUUCGAUAUAAGGAAUGAAUAUGUUUUCAUUAACAGGAGCAGUACCAAGAAAGAUCUAUUUGUACAACAGAUGGCCACAAAGAUUACCUCCGAGAAGCACUUCACAGUGACAGACCGGAGACCAGGGCAUCUGGUGCUGUUCAAGGAGAAAAGGCCAUGGAAGCAGCUGAUCUCCAGCCCUGGCUGGGAUUCCAGUUGAAGACAAUAAACAUUCAACAUACUGCAACCUAUGUUUGCACUGUCAUGUCUUCCAUGCAAUAUGCACAAUGUUACCAGACUAUGGGGAGGCAAAGAAUGAAGGACUGGAGUAAGUUCCAGAAGGCCAGACUGAACAGCACCAUAGGGAACUGCACAAAGCAAUUCGCACUUUACUACAUGCAGAGUCUAUGGACACUGAGCCCUGUGCAUGGAGAGAUAACUGAGUGCUGCCAACCGGGUUGCAAAAGAACGUGGGCCAACAGCACAGCACACGGUCACGAUUCUGCACAGCCAGACCACAGGACAGCCUAGAGAAGAUGGCAAGAAAGAGGAUGAGGGAAAUGACGCAGACAGGGCUCAGGGCCUGUGGCCACCUCCGUGGAGGUACCACCACAACUUCAAUUACCUGUACAGAUGCCUACGAAACUGCAAGUCACGUUUACAGAGAUGAAAGCAACCAAGUCAUGAGCUAAGAGUAACAGUGCUCCAGAUACUGACGCAGGCAGUAUGAGGGCUUGCUCACUGAGACUGUCAUCAUCAGGCCACAUGCCAGCAACAAAAAGUAAACAAGGAUGGAGUCCAAUACUGCAAGUGACUGUCUUCUGCCCACUGACUGAGUCGCUGAACUGUGUAUUAUCUAUGCAACACGGGUGUUUUAUUAGUUUUACCUAAAUAAAUCUCUUUGGUAAUGACUAAAGUGUUUUUUUAAAAAACCUAACUUUUCAAUACCUAUUUAAAAUUUUUUUUUAAGAU